rnacentral:rRNA from 1 species
GUAGGUGGCAAGCGUUGUCCGGAAUUAUUGGGCGUAAAGCGCGCGCAGGUGGUUCUUCAAGUCUGAUGUGAAAGCCCCCGGCUCAACCGGGGAGGGUCAUUGGAAACUGGGGAACUUGAGUGCAGGAGAGGAAAGUGGAAUUCCACGUGUAGCGGUGAAAUGCGUAGAUAUGUGGAGGAACACCAGUGGCGAAGGCGACUUUCUGGCCUGUAACUGACACUGAGGCGCGAAAGCGUGGGGAGCAAACAGGGAUUAGAUACCCUGGUAGUCCACGCCGUAAACGAUGAGUGCUAAGUGUUGGGGGGGUUUCCGCCCCCUCAGUGCUGCAGCUAACGCAUUAAGCACUCCGCCUGGGAGUACGGUCGCAAGACUG